UUCCGGUUGAUCCUGCCGGAGGCCAUUGCUAUCGGGAUCCGCUUCAGCCAUGCUAGUCGCACGGGUUAGACCCGUGGCAGAUAGCUCCGUAACACGUGGCCAAACUACCCUCUGGAUCGGGAUAACCUCGGGAAACUGAGGCUAAUCCCGAAUAAGGCUCGCUGCCUGGAACGGCACGAGCUGGAAACGCUCCGGCGCCAGAGGAUGUGGCUGCGGCCGAUUAGGUUGACGGUGGGGUAACGGCCCACCGUGCCGAUAAUCGGUACGGGUUGUGAGAGCAAGAGCCCGGAGACGGUGUCUGAGACAAGACACCGGGCCCUACGGGGCGCAGCAGGCGCGAAACCUUUACACUGCACGCCAGUGCGAUAAGGGGACUCCGAGUGCGAGGGCAUACAGUCCUCGCUUUUCUGCACCGUAAGGUGGUGCAGGAACAAGGGCUGGGCAAGACCGGUGCCAGCCGCCGCGGUAAUACCGGCAGCCCGAGUGAUGGCCGAUAUUAU
rnacentral:rRNA from 1 species